CGUCAAUUCAGAGAAACUGAAACUUUAAAAGAGAGGCGGGACAUUUGGUGAAACUAGUACCGUAUAUUUAUUUACGUCUUUUUGUGGAAAUAUGCUCACAGUAAAGGAUACCGACGCACAACGGACAGCGUUAGAUAGAAACAGGUUGAACAGGCGCUUCCACAGUAGCCGACUGACAAGACACGUUAUUACUUGUGAAUUAGGGCACGUAACAGCGAUUAUUUUGUUAUCUAUCAGAAACUGUAUAGCAGUAAACCAUGGCAACGUCGUAUUAAUAUUUAUGCAUAAAUAUGCAUGAAUGCUAUUCAGCUAUUAUCACAGACCUACCUAUUCUGUAUAUUACAGACUAGGUCUUGUUCAAAGCCAUGUACAAGGGAACCUUUGAGGAAUUGGAGUACAGGGACACGUUCGAGGAGAAUAUGCCUUGGUUUUACCAGGAUGAAUGCGGGGAGUGGCGUAUGUUUGCGGAAAAUCCAAGUGAAAAGUGUACUCUGACCAGUAGGGACAUUGAACGAAACUACUGUAGGAACUGGAAUGGAUUUAUGCUAUACCGCUUGGACAAUUGUAUUUACAGAUUGGAUUUCUCAGAGAUGAAACAGAUAAACCUAACAACUGGAAAGCAGCGGGAAAUUAAGCGGGCCCGCCAUUCUACAGCUGCCCACAGCUCACUUCAUAGUAAGCCAACACACCCUGUUCCCUCCCACUGGGAAAAAGACUUACCUUUUCAGGUAAAGUGAAAGAAGGAGGAUGCCGGCUCAUCCCACUGGACAGUAGUACGAAAGAAUGUAAAGAGGUAGUGAAGAUGUUUGCAGAGACAAUGCCUAAUGUCCCCAUCAGAUCAAUAAUGAGGAUACAGAACUUCAAACUGUGGGAUUCCUUUUGCCGGAAGAAAGCACAACUGACACAGAUCAAACAAAUGCCUAUCGAUGAGAGAAUGUUGUUCCACGGUACAGCCUACAAAAACAUUUGGUCCAUAUGUGCUGCUAAUUUUGACUUGAAGUUCGCGGGAAGACAUGGUUCUGUCCAUGGAAAAGGGAUUUAUUUUGCAAGACAUGCAAGCUACGCAAAUAAAUUCUGUGGUGUCCCAAAGAGCCAGAAUAGCGUAUUGCCAUCAAAGACCAUGAUCCUGGCUCGAGUGCUGGUCGGAGAGUACACACAGGGUGAGAGAAGUCUGUGUCAAGUCCCAUCCAAAGACAAGACCAUGACAAGCUUCUAUGACAGCUGUAUAGAUGAUUUCAAUUACCCUAAAACUUUUGUGAUCUUUAACAGCAACCAGAUAUACCCCGAAUAUUUGAUUGAGUUCUAGCGAUGGUUGCUCAGAGUGAUUAAACAAAACUCAAAAUGGCCGAACUGAAGAGAAGUUAAAAUAGCACUAUACUUCUGGCAUUACACUUCUUAGAUUUUAUGUCAGUCAUGACAUAAACAUUUUAUUGGGGAUAGGGAUAUGGUCGGAAGGUGGAAGAAAUACUUUGAGGAACUCCUGAAUCUGACAGACACACUCACAAGGCUGAGCUGGAGAAAUCUGGGGUAUCAGAGUCUAUUUCUGUGGCAGAAGUCACUGGGGUGGUUGGAGAGGUCCUCAGUGGCAGAGCACCAGGGAUGGAUGAGAUUCAUCCAGAAAUUAUUUUCAAAAGCAAAGCAAAUUCAGCAAAGUUCAGUUUCAUUUUAUAUAUGAUUUGGGCUGCAAAUGGUUCACCUUUCACUCAUUCUUCUUAAAAAGGGCUUGCUCUUUUUUACUCUCAUUACUUUCUUAUAUACUGUAAGUGAGUAUACCAUUUUCUAUACCAUUUUCAUUACAUUCAUAAAGGUUGGUGUUACAGAAGGAUCUUAUCAGCUAAUUAUGUGUCCAUAAUAAAUGUAGGAAAUUG